UACGUAGGGUGCAAGCGUUGUCCGGAAUUAUUGGGCGUAAAGAGCUCGUAGGCGGUCUGUUGCGUCGGCUGUGAAAACCCGGGGCUCAACCUCGGGCCUGCAGUGGGUACGGGCAGACUAGAGUGCGGUAGGGGAGAUUUGGAAUUCCUGGUGUAGCGGUGGAAUGCGCAGAUAUCAGGAGGAACACCAAUGGCGAAGGCAGAUCUCUGGGCCGUAACUGACGCUGAGGAGCGAAAGCAUGGGGAGCGAACAGG
rnacentral:rRNA from 1 species